rnacentral:lncRNA from 1 species
AAAAAAACUUCAAAAGCACACCCCUUUUCUCUCAAUCUCCGUCCUUCCGACAAUCGGCCAUCUAGCCGUCGUUAACUCGUCUGCCGUACAGUCAUGGAAUCCGACGGCCGACGAAGCGCGGCGAAGGGCUUUUAAAGCCCGAUUCCAGGCGAGCUAGGAGGUUGGGCUUUCGAGGCCCAAAAGGACCGAGACAGAGGCCCACAACCCCCUCCGAAUCUGGUCUCGAAGGCAGAGACCCGCCUUCUGACGGCGGUUUCAGGGCGUCCGGUAAACUCCUUCUUCUUCUUUUUUCUUUAUUGAGUUUUUUUUUAAAAAAACGAUUCUUUAAAAAAAUAAUAAUAAAAUAAAAUAAAUAAAUAAACAAAUGAAUCCCAAAAAAAAAAGAACAGCAACCUUUUUUAAUCUUUUAUUUUUGAUGUUUGUGAAUCCGUUUACAGUGUUUGUGUUGGAUUUUUAUAUCCCGAUUUAUAGAAAAUAGAAAAUAAAAAUCAAUAUAAAUGCUCCCCCUAUUCUGUUAUAUCCCUAUUCGCUACUAUUUCCGCGUGUUUUUUGCAGGUAUUCGGCCAACUUGGAGGUACAGAGUUGGCCGUACGGAGGCGUGCGUGGCUGGGAGGCGUGGUGGUGCUCGUGCGAGGAAGAGCAAAGGGGUUUCCCUGCUCCGGCGUUGGGAAGGGCUACUGCUAGGGUUUUCUGAUUUUGGUCUUUAGGGCUUAGGUGAUUUGGGCCAGGGGUAUCCGGGCUAGCUGAUUCGAGUUUGGUAUUGGGCUGUAUGUAAUGUAUUUUGGGUCUGGGUAAUGGGUUUAAGCUACUAUUGUAAUUGGGUUAUGGUAUUGGGCUGUAUGAAUUUGGCCCAUUGUAAUUGCCCAUUGUAAUUGGACUUUAUUGACAUUGGACUUUUAAUAAUUUUAAUUCGUUUUUAUUGUCUAUGUUGUGCCUGGCUAUAUUGGGCCAUUACAAAGUCAAUAUUAUUAAAACCAUCCUACUCUCAAAAUUUCUCUCAAGAAGAUCAGGUGGUAUGGGGGGCAAAUACUCUGCUGUUUACAAUUUUAGAAGUGGGUACCGAAUGCUAUUAGGCCUUGCUACUGUAUCACCGAUGGAUACAUGGCUUUAUUAGCAAGUAUGGGGCUUUCGUGCUUCUUGAAAAUUAAAAUUUCUUUGUGGAAGUUUAUUAAUCAGUUUGUGCCUACAAAAUUAUGUCUUUACAAUAAGAGGAUUGCGAAUGAUACCCACUGCCCUCGAUGUCAUGCAGUUGAUGAGGACGUGAGCCAUGUCUUCUGCAACUGUGUGUUUGCUAGGAAUGUUUGGUUGACCUUUCACUAUGGAUGCCCUACUAAUGAUGCAUAGUGGAGUUUUAAGGAUUGGCUCUCCUGGAUGUUUGAUCGUUACCCUAUGCAUAAAAGGAUAGAAAUUGCAAUGGUUGUUUGGGCGUUAUGGUAUGCUAGGAAAAAAUUGUAUCAUGAAGGAAUUGCUUAGGGGGUGCGAGAUGUGGUUACCUUGUUUGAGGUUACUACUCUAAGCUUAAAGUUCUUGCUUCGAAUGUCGGUCAGAUGUUCUAGACAAGUCGAUCAGGUGGAAUCCUCCCCCGAUUUUGCUUGUUAAAAUAAAUAUUGAUGCUAGUUUUUCCCUGCAACAGCGAAAAGCAUGCUCAAGAGUUGUUAUAAAGGAUGCAUCUGGAAUGAUUAUGGGGGCAUGCAGUCGGGUUACAUUACCUGUAUCUUCAGUCUUUUUUGCGGAAGCGUUAGCAGUCCUUCAUAUGCUGCGAUUUGCUGUCGAUCUGGGGUUCCAGUUUGUUGUUCUAGAACGCGAUGCAAGGACAAUUGUUCAAAUGUUUCAAGCUGAGUCUGAUGAUUUCUUUGAAAUUAGCGCCCUAAUCUGGGAAGCGAAGGGUCUUUCUCAGUUAUUUUUGGAGUGUCGGUUUGCUUUCCUUGAAAGAUCUAGAAAUAGGACUGCGUAUGCGGUGGCUGAAGAAGGUAUGUCACGACUGGAAGAUAGGUUUUAGGUGGAGGAAGCUCCGUUGUUGGCUACUUCUCUUGCCGCUGCUGAUAGAAGGCUUAUUUCUCCACCUUGAGUCUCAGCUUCUGUAGUUUCGGGUUGGGGGUUUUCUUGGUGAUCUCUAUUACCCCUAAUUUUGUCUAGUCUUAAGUGUCUCUUCAUUGUCUUUUACACUGUUGGCUUGAGUGCUUUUGUGUCGGUGGGGUCUUUUGGGUAAAGGGACUAUCUUUUUGUGGUUAUGUAUCUGGUUUUGUUUUGGUGUACUUUUGUAUCCUUUUCUUUGCAAUAAAGCCACUGACAUUAUUUACUAAAUAAAAUUAGCAUGUAG